GACUCGUUGGCGCAAUGGUAGCGUACAGACCUCCUACCCGGGAGGUUAGUCUGGGGUUGCGGGUUCGAGUCCCGUGCGAGUCG